rnacentral:rRNA from 1 species
GGGUUGUGAGGUUAAGCGACUAAGCGUACACGGUGGAUGCCCUGGCAGUCAGAGGCGAUGAAGGACGUGCUAAUCUGCGAUAAGCGUCGGUAAGGUGAUAUGAACCGUUAUAACCGGCGAUUUCCGAAUGGGGAAACCCAGUGUGAUUCGUCACACUAUCAUUAACUGAAUCCAUAGGUUAAUGAGGCGAACCGGGGGAACUGAAACAUCUAAGUACCCCGAGGAAAAGAAAUCAACCGAGAUUCCCCCAGUAGCGGCGAGCGAACGGGGAGCAGCCCAGAGCCUGAAUCAGUGUGUGUGUUAGUGGAAGCGUCUGGAAAGGCGCGCGAUACAGGGUGACAGCCCCGUACACAAAAAUGCACAUGCUGUGAGCUCGAUGAGUAGGGCGGGACACGUGGUAUCCUGUCUGAAUAUGGGGGGACCAUCCUCCAAGGCUAAAUACUCCUGACUGACCGAUAGUGAACCAGUACCGUGAGGGAAAGGCGAAAAGAACCCCGGCGAGGGGAGUGAAAAAGAACCUGAAACCGUGUACGUACAAGCAGUGGGAGCACGCUUAGGCGUGUGACUGCGUACCUUUUGUAUAAUGGGUCAGCGACUUAUAUUCUGUAGCAAGGUUAACCGAAUAGGGGAGCCGAAGGGAAACCGAGUCUUAACUGGGCGUUAAGUUGCAGGGUAUAGACCCGAAACCCGGUGAUCUAGCCAUGGGCAGGUUGAAGGUUGGGUAACACUAACUGGAGGACCGAACCGACUAAUGUUGAAAAAUUAGCGGAUGACUUGUGGCUGGGGGUGAAAGGCCAAUCAAACCGGGAGAUAGCUGGUUCUCCCCGAAAGCUAUUUAGGUAGCGCCUCGUGAAUUCAUCUCCGGGGGUAGAGCACUGUUUCGGCAAGGGGGUCAUCCCGACUUACCAACCCGAUGCAAACUGCGAAUACCGGAGAAUGUUAUCACGGGAGACACACGGCGGGUGCUAACGUCCGUCGUGAAGAGGGAAACAACCCAGACCGCCAGCUAAGGUCCCAAAGUCAUGGUUAAGUGGGAAACGAUGUGGGAAGGCCCAGACAGCCAGGAUGUUGGCUUAGAAGCAGCCAUCAUUUAAAGAAAGCGUAAUAGCUCACUGGUCGAGUCGGCCUGCGCGGAAGAUGUAACGGGGCUAAACCAUGCACCGAAGCUGCGGCAGCGACGCUUAUGCGUUGUUGGGUAGGGGAGCGUUCUGUAAGCCUGUGAAGGUGUACUGUGAGGUAUGCUGGAGGUAUCAGAAGUGCGAAUGCUGACAUAAGUAACGAUAAAGCGGGUGAAAAGCCCGCUCGCCGGAAGACCAAGGGUUCCUGUCCAACGUUAAUCGGGGCAGGGUGAGUCGACCCCUAAGGCGAGGCCGAAAGGCGUAGUCGAUGGGAAACAGGUUAAUAUUCCUGUACUUGGUGUUACUGCGAAGGGGGGACGGAGAAGGCUAUGUUGGCCGGGCGACGGUUGUCCCGGUUUAAGCGUGUAGGCUGGUUUUCCAGGCAAAUCCGGAAAAUCAAGGCUGAGGCGUGAUGACGAGGCACUACGGUGCUGAAGCAACAAAUGCCCUGCUUCCAGGAAAAGCCUCUAAGCAUCAGGUAACAUCAAAUCGUACCCCAAACCGACACAGGUGGUCAGGUAGAGAAUACCAAGGCGCUUGAGAGAACUCGGGUGAAGGAACUAGGCAAAAUGGUGCCGUAACUUCGGGAGAAGGCACGCUGAUAUGUAGGUGAAGUCCCUCGCGGAUGGAGCUGAAAUCAGUCGAAGAUACCAGCUGGCUGCAACUGUUUAUUAAAAACACAGCACUGUGCAAACACGAAAGUGGACGUAUACGGUGUGACGCCUGCCCGGUGCCGGAAGGUUAAUUGAUGGGGUUAGCGCAAGCGAAGCUCUUGAUCGAAGCCCCGGUAAACGGCGGCCGUAACUAUAACGGUCCUAAGGUAGCGAAAUUCCUUGUCGGGUAAGUUCCGACCUGCACGAAUGGCGUAAUGAUGGCCAGGCUGUCUCCACCCGAGACUCAGUGAAAUUGAACUCGCUGUGAAGAUGCAGUGUACCCGCGGCAAGACGGAAAGACCCCGUGAACCUUUACUAUAGCUUGACACUGAACAUUGAGCCUUGAUGUGUAGGAUAGGUGGGAGGCUUUGAAGUGUGGACGCCAGUCUGCAUGGAGCCGACCUUGAAAUACCACCCUUUAAUGUUUGAUGUUCUAACGUUGACCCGUAAUCCGGGUUGCGGACAGUGUCUGGUGGGUAGUUUGACUGGGGCGGUCUCCUCCUAAAGAGUAACGGAGGAGCACGAAGGUUGGCUAAUCCUGGUCGGACAUCAGGAGGUUAGUGCAAUGGCAUAAGCCAGCUUGACUGCGAGCGUGACGGCGCGAGCAGGUGCGAAAGCAGGUCAUAGUGAUCCGGUGGUUCUGAAUGGAAGGGCCAUCGCUCAACGGAUAAAAGGUACUCCGGGGAUAACAGGCUGAUACCGCCCAAGAGUUCAUAUCGACGGCGGUGUUUGGCACCUCGAUGUCGGCUCAUCACAUCCUGGGGCUGAAGUAGGUCCCAAGGGUAUGGCUGUUCGCCAUUUAAAGUGGUACGCGAGCUGGGUUUAGAACGUCGUGAGACAGUUCGGUCCCUAUCUGCCGUGGGCGCUGGAGAACUGAGGGGGGCUGCUCCUAGUACGAGAGGACCGGAGUGGACGCAUCACUGGUGUUCGGGUUGUCAUGCCAAUGGCACUGCCCGGUAGCUAAAUGCGGAAGAGAUAAGUGCUGAAAGCAUCUAAGCACGAAACUUGCCCCGAGAUGAGUUCUCCCUGACCCUUUAAGGGUCCUGAAGGAACGUUGAAGACGACGACGUUGAUAGGCCGGGUGUGUAAGCGCAGCGAUGCGUUGAGCUAACCGGUACUAAUGAACCGUGAGGCUUAACCUUACAACGCCGAAGCUGUU